CCCAUUUCCACUCCCCCUAUCUCCCCCUCCUUUAUUUCUCUCUCCCUCUCUCUCGGUCAGAGGAAAUUGUAUGAAGCGAGGGCAGAAAGCAGGUCACAUGACUGCUGUAUGUCAGCAUCCACGAGGGUCCUGAGGGAGUCCUGGCAGACACAGCUGUGGUUUGGCCAUCCUCACAGAUGCUUGUCUGACUCUGACACAUCUGACUGGGGUUGGCUGGAUCGCCUCCCGAAUGGCGCAGCGGUCUAAUGCACUGCAGUGCUUGAGGCGUCACUACAGAUCUGGGUUCAAUCCCAGGCUGUGUCGCAGCCGGCCACGACCAGGAGACCCAUGAGGCAACGCAAAAUUGGGCCAGCAUCUUCCAGGUUAGGGGAGGGAUUGGCCGGCUGGGAUGUCCUUGUCCCAUCGCUCUCUAGCGACUCCUGUGAGGGCCGGCCACAUGCACUUUGACACGGUCGCAGUUGUACGGUGUUUUCUCCGACACAUUGGUGUGGCUGGCUUCCAGGUUAAGUGGGCAGUGUGUCAAGAAGCAGUGCGGCUUUGCAGAGUCAUGUUUCGGGGGACGCAUGGCUCUUGACCUUCGCCUCUCUCUCGAGUCCGUACGGGAGUUGCAGCGAUGGGACAAGACUGUAGCUACCAAUUGGAUAUCAUGAAAUUGGGGGUAAAAAGUUGUCUGGACUUCGCUGAAGACCCGUUGAUCUCUACAUUACUCCCUUUUUGUAUAGACACCUAAGUUGCCUAACCCAUUCACGGGAUUGGUUAACACUUGAAGUUCCUUGUGUCUCCACCGAGCUAGGUAAAUUCACUUUUAGUUUUAAUGUACCGUGUUGCUGGAACAAAAUUUCUCUGUUCUGGUUCCGUUUGGCAAUUUAAGUAUGGAUUGGAGGAAUGUAACUGUUUUUCUGUAUGAUUUGUAGUGUUUUAUUUGUGCUUCCCAUGACUAUAUUUAUGUACAGUGGGGCAAAAAAGUAUUUAGUCAGCCACCAAUUGUGCAAGUUCUCCCACUUAAAAAUAUGAGAGAGGCCUGUCAUUUUCAUUAUAGGUACACUUCAACUAUGACAGACAAAAUGAGAAGAAAAAAAAUCCAGAAAAUCACAUUGUAGGAUUUUUAAUGAAUUUAUUUGCAAAUUAUGGAGGAAAAUAAGUAUUUGGUCACCUACAAACAAACAAGAUUUUUGGCUCUCACAGACCUGUAACUUCUUCUUUAAGAAGCUCCUCUGUCCUCCACUCGUUACCUGUAUUAAUGGCACCUGUUUGAACUUGUUAUCAGUAUAAAAGACACCUGUCCACAACCUCAAACAGUCACACUCCAAACUCCACUGUGGCCAAGACCAAAGAGCUGUCAAAGGACACCAGAAACAAAAUUGUAGACCUGCACCAGGCUGGGAAGACAAUAGGUAAGCAAUAGGUCUGCAAUAGGUAAGCAGCUUGGUUUGAAGAAAUCAACUGUGGGAGCAAUUAUUAGGAAAUGGAAGACAUUCAAGACCACUGAUAUUCUCCCUCGAUCUGGGGCUCCACGCAAGAUCUCACCCCGUGGGGUCAAAAUGAUCACAAGAACGGUGAGCAAAAAUCCCAGAACCACACGGGGGGACCUAGUGAAUGACCUGCAGAGAGCUGGGACCAAAGUAACAGCCUACCAUCAGUAACACACUACGCCGCCAGGGACUCAAAUCCUGCAGUGCCAGACGUGUCCCCCUGCUUAAGCCAGUACAUGUUCAGGCCCGUCUGAAGUUUGCUAGAGAGCAUUUGGAUGAUCCAGAAGAAGAUUGGGAGAAUGUCAUAUGGUCAGAUGAAACCAAAAUAUAACUUUUUGGUAAAAACUCAACUCGUCGUGUUUGGAGGACAAAGAAUGCUGAGUUGCAUCCAAAGAACACCAUACCUACUGUGAAGCAUGGGGGUGGAAACAUCAUGCGUUGGGGCUGUUUUUCUGCAAAGGGACCAGGACGACUGAUCCGUGUAAAGGAAAGAAGGAAUGGGGCCAUGUAUCAUGAGAUUUUGAGUGAAAACCUCCUUCCAUCAGCAAGGGCAUUGAAGAUUAAACGUGGCUGGGUCUUUCAGCAUGACAAUGAUCCCAAACACACUGCCCGGGCAACGAAGGAGUGGCUUCUUAAGAAGCAUUUCAAGGUCCUGGAGUGGCCUAGCCAGUCUCCAGGUCUCAACCCCAUAGAAAAUCUUUGGAGGGAGUUGAAAGUCCGUGUUGCCCAGCAACAGCCCCAAAACAUCACUGCUCUAGAGGAGAUCUGCAUGGAGGAAUGGGCCAAAAUAUCAGCAACAGUGUGUGAAAACCUUGUGAAGACUUACAGAAAAGGUUUGACCUCUGCCAUUGCCAACAAAGGGUAUAUAACAAAGUAUUGAGAUAAACUUUUGUUAUUGACCAAAUACUUAUUUUCUACCAUAAUUUGCAAAUAUAUUCAUUAAAAAUCCUACAAUGUGAUUUUCUGGAUUUGUUUUUCUCAUUUUGUCUGUCAUAGUUGAAGUGUACCUAUGAUGAAAAUUACAGGCCUCUCAUAUUUUUAAGUGGGAGAACUUGCACAAUUGGUGGCUGACUAAAUACUUUCUUGCCCCACUGUAUUUUAUUGUGUAUAUGUCUGGGUAUAAUGUGUAUAUUUCUAUGUUCUAUUAUACAGGCCACAUUUGUAAAAGAGACCUAGGUCUCAAUACGUUUUACCUGUUCAAAUAAAGGUGAAAUAAAAUGUAAAAAAAUGUAAAACCAAAUAUUUGCAACACUCCCAAAAACCAACAGACAAAUUACAUUUAUCCAAUAUCACUUUAUUGUUUUUUUAAAAAUCAAUCACAUUGUUUACUGUGCUUUAAAUGUUUACAGAUUAAAGUGUGUGUUGAGGUACUGUC